rnacentral:tRNA from 1 species
GUCCUUGUGGCCUAACGGAUAAGGUGUCUGACUUUGGAUCAGAAGAUUACUGGUUCGAGUCCUGCCAGGGUCG